AUGAAGCUCCUGACCCUGAUGGCAGCAGAUCUUCUCCUUACUGGAAUCACACAUACCUGGUGGGGUUGGGCUUUCCACAGUUACCCCACAGCGUGCAACCAUUAUGACCAAUUCCGUAAGCACAAACUCCAGCCAGUACCCGCAGAACAAAACCUGCCUGUCAGCGAGCCCAGGCCCCGCAGCAACUGGGCCCAUGGCCAGGAGGGCACAUGCCCUGUCCGCUCCCUGCAGAGUGCUUCGUCCAGGGUCCCCAGCCCAGCUGGUCUGGCACCUCCAGCUGCCUUAACAACUCACCUGGGCCCAGUUCCCAGCUGCAGAGCAGAGGCUGAGUCGGGGAAGGGCUGCCCUGGAUGCGCUGGGCAGGGGCCCAUCACAGACCCUGUCACACCUGCACGAUCAAGUUUAUUAAACUUGUUUCAAGGCACUGUGGGUGGAAACUUUGUGAGAAAUCGUAUGGAGGAGAUUUAA
rnacentral:lncRNA from 12 species